AUUGAACGCUGGCGGCAUGCCUAACACAUGCAAGUCGAACGGAGGGCUUCGGCCCUCAGUGGCGGACGGGUGAGUAACGCGUAGGGAUCUGCCCCGCAGUGGGGGACAACCUGGGGAAACUCAGGCUAAUACCGCAUACGCUCCAUGGAGGAAAGCGGGGGGACCUUCGGGCCUCGCGCUGCGGGAUGAACCUACGUCCGAUUAGCUAGUUGGUGGGGUAAGGGCCCACCAAGGCGACGAUCGGUAGCUGGUCUGAGAGGACGGCCAGCCACACUGGGACUGAGACACGGCCCAGACUCCUACGGGAGGCAGCAGUGGGGAAUAUUGGACAAUGGGCGCAAGCCUGAUCCAGCAAUGCCGCGUGGGUGAAGACGGCCUGCGGGUUGUAAAGCCCUUUAGGCGGGGAAGAACGGCCGGGCGCGAAUAGCGCGCGGCUCUGACGUUACCCGCAGAAUAAGCACCGGCUAACUCCGUGCCAGCAGCCGCGGUAAU
rnacentral:rRNA from 1 species